GAUGAACGCUAGCGGCAGGCUUAAUACAUGCAAGUCGAGGGGUAGCAAGAUUGUAGCAAUACAAUUGUUGACGACCGGCAAACGGGUGCGGAACACGUACACAACCUUCCUACAAGUGGGGAAUAGCCCAGAGAAAUUUGGAUUAAUACCCCGUAACCUAGCGAUGUGGCAUCACAUUGCUAUUAUAGGUUCGGGGCUCGUUUAUGGGUGUGCGGCUGAUUUGAUAGUGGGCGGGGUUACGGCCCACCAAGUCUACGAUCAGUAGCUGAUGUGAGAGCAUGAUCAGCCACACGGGCACUGAGACACGGGCCCGACUCCUACGGGAGGCAGCAGUAAGGAAUAUUGGACAAUGGACGCAAGUCUGAUCCAGCCAUGCCGCGUGAAGGAUUAAGGUCCUCUGGAUUGUAAACUUCUUUUAUAAGGGACGAAAAAAGGUCUUUCUAGAUCGUCUGACGGUACCUUAUGAAUAAGCACCGGCUAACUCCGUGCCAGCCGCCGCGGUAAAAC
rnacentral:rRNA from 1 species